AUCACAUUGAGGGUUGCAACAUUUUCGGGUUAUUCUGUUUUGAUUCGGGCAUUCGUUCGAACAUUUUUCGUAUUUUGCUUUGUUUCUUUGCAACCGAAAGUUGGAAUAAAAGGAAAAACGAAUUAUCGUAAGCAACUCAAUCAUGUUGUGUCUUUAACUUUUGUCACUGGCCAUGCCGUAUUUCGCUCUAAUGCCAACUCUUUUCCUUUCUCACCCUCUUUGGUUGCAUACGGGAUGCAACAUUCAGUGGUUUUUUGUUUUGCUCAGGGCAUUCGUUCGAACAUAUUUUUUUUAGUUUUUUUUCGCGUUUACGUUCGUUUAGUUAACUUUUCGGUCGCUUUGUGAAAAUUGUAUAAUAAAAUUGUUGAAAAAUAGUGUUUAAAGAAAUCUGUGUUUAGUGGCCGUGGCAUGUGGCUGUGAAAAAAAGUGCAACAAGAUUUGGAGUGUUAGGUGUUAUUAUAGAGCUCCAAAAGAUUUAGUUAAUAACGCAAUUUCAUUUGAAUAUUGCAUUUUAUUUAAAUAUUCGGUAUCGCAAGAAAUUGUGUACUUAACAAAAUUUUACUACAAUUAUUGGCCAAUUAUUGAAACAACUGUAACAUCCAUUUGAUGAGUCAACCGCCGUAUAGUCCCGACUUGCCACCGAAUGCCUUUUUUUAUUCCCGCAUGUAAAAAAUAAAAUGAGAGGUCAACGUGUCAUUUAUUUACAGUGUUGAUGGUUUGUUUCAUCUUCUUUUUCAAUUACAAUUACAAGUCUAAAUACGAAGCUUAAAUUCUAAAAGCGUUCUAAAUCGUAUAUAUGAAUUGCGCCGUCUACAGACUCAAGAAUUCAAAAUCGGUUCAUAUAUGUUAGGUAAGGUUUAAGUGGCAGUCUGCCAUCAGACUCACACGUUUACGUCCAUUGUGAUAAGACAGGAACAGAAGAAGGAAGAUGCCUUCUAGUUCCUACCGUUGAACCAUCCAGAUCGCUUUAAAAAGCCCAACAACUUGCAAACGUUUCCAUCCGCUAAAUCAGACAGGUUCUCAAAGAAAAUGAGAGCCUAAAGUGGACACUAUUUGUGUUGCUUACAUUUACUCAAAAGAUUCAUCUCGCCCAAAAAAUGGAAUUAAUUUGAGGGCAUUUUCGUGCUAUUAUUUUUUACAACGACGUCGAUUAACUCAACAACAGGGCAUCGAUGAACUUAAUAAAAUGUAUGCCAAUGAAGCUCCAUCAAGGACCAAUGUUUAUCGAUGGUAUGGUGAAUUCAACCGUGGUCGUAGUUCACUCCAAGACGAAUUUCUUGUUCCAUUGUUGCUGUGCUCCAUGAUUUUGCAAGAUCGUCAUGUGACCUAUCGUGAGACUGCGACAACCUUAGGCAUUUUUGGGACCAGCAUAUUGCAAUAAUGCAUAAAUAUUUGACCGUCUGACGCAUUUGAGGGCGAUUUUUGAGGCGUAAUUUUUUUUAAAUAUUAAACACUGUCGAGCUCCCGAAGGAACCCUGCUUUGCUUGGAGGGGAGGAAAUGAACUGACGGGCGCUGGCUGCUGGCGUUCGAGCACCGGCUGUGGCUCAGUCGAAAAGGGCGCGGUUCUUGCCAGUUCACCUCCUCCAAAGCAGGUGACAAAAAAAACAAAAAUCAACCAGCUGAUGGAGGGACACUGAUACCUACACAACAACCAUGAACAGUACUAGACAGACACACACUACCAUGUUGACACCACUUAGCAUUCAGCUGGUGUCUGGACGCACCCACCCCACCAUGGUGCCCUCUUGCGUCAUAAUCUAUGAGGACACCCCAAAUACACCUGUUUGUCCUGGACCGCAAUAUGGGUCAUCGAAUCUUCUUUCUGGUCUCGCCUAGUGAUGGCCUUGAUGUCGGAGCUGGGAUUGCCUAGCUGUAUCACCAGUCCUGCAAUGGUACCGACCCUGCUUGUCGUCUACCCUAUUUCCUGUCCGUCCGUCUGAUGGAUGUUGUUGGUCAACGCUAAAACAAGGUGGACAUCUAUGAUGGAGCAAGGGCCCCCACGUACCUUUUACUGAAACCUUCCUGGCCUAUGGAAGUUUUGUGUCAGGUAGCUGUCUGUCCGUCCGUCUAAGUCAAGCGUAUUGUCCUGUUUUAUGUAUGGGAAAAGGGCUCUGAUAGAGGGUACCUUUGGCGUUGUCGGCUGACCAACGCUGUGCUGUUAUCGCCUGGUUGGCUGAUGUUCCAACGUCGGGACAGUGGAGGUGGAGUUUUGGGUUUUUUAAGUAUUUACUUUCUUCGUUUUAUCUUAUUUAUUUACAGAUAACUUUAUUUUCCUUUCUUUUCAGGUUAAUGUUUUUUUUUCUCUUUUCAGGUAUCGUUUUCUUUUCAGGUGUUUAGUGUUUUCUUCCCUUACAGGUUUUUACGUUCCUGUCUUUUUCUUUAUUUAUUUCCACUUGGGUCUCACUCCACCUCCGGUAAGCUUGCUGUCCAUAACCAAAAAGAACGCUUCAUCUUGGGGACUCUAGCCAGCUUGGCUUUGGUUGGUCUCCAUCAUGAAGUUGGUCUUCCAGCCGGCACCAACAAAACAUAUGGGGGCAGCCAUAAUGACAGGUUGGUGUCAGCUGGUUGACUCCCUCUCCCUGAUGAGGGCCAACCAUAGCCAGUAGGUGUCGCUGGAGUAAGGCAAGUCACAACCAGGUGGCGCUGUAGCGCCAUUAUUCGGCGCACACCACAAACCCAACCACCCUGCCGAUAUUUCUAUCAAAGGAUGGGAGGGAAAAAGUGCGGUUCCCACUGGAUUCCUGUUAUCUGCAAUCCCUAUCUUUACGGCGCUGUCGAAACGGAAAAUCGCACGGAACUGUCGUUCAACCAUUUGUAGCAACAAAAAAACAUCUCUUUCCGGUGGUAUUCAUCAAUAAAAAUGAUCUGAUCAAUCUUCUCG